UACGUAGGUGGCGAGCGUUGUCCGGAUUUACUGGGUGUAAAGGGCGCGUAGGCGGGAUAGCAAGUCAGGUGUGAAAUCUCCGGGCUCAACCCGGAAACUGCACUUGAAACUGUUGUUCUUGAGUGUCGGAGAGGUAGAUGGAAUUCCUAGUGUAGCGGUGAAAUGCGUAGAUAUUAGGAGGAACACCAGUGGCGAAGGCGAUCUACUGGACGAUAACUGACGCUGAUGCGCGAAAGCGUGGGGAGCAAAC
rnacentral:rRNA from 1 species